UACGUAGGGGGCGAGCGUUGUCCGGAUUUAUUGGGCGUAAAGAGCGCGUAGGCGGCCACGUAAGUCCGACGUGAAAUCUGGAGGCUCAACCUCCAGCGGUCGUUGGAAACUACAUGGCUAGAGUCCGGAAGAGGAGAGUGGAAUUCCUGGUGUAGCGGUGAAAUGCGCAGAUAUCAGGAAGAACACCGAUGGCGAAGGCAGCUCUCUGGGACGGUACUGACGCUGAGGCGCGAAAGCGUGGGGAGCGAACAGG
rnacentral:misc_RNA from 1 species